CCUACGGGUGGCAGCAGUCGAGAAUCAUUCACAAUGGGGGAAACCCUGAUGGUGCGACGCCGCGUGGGGGAAUGAAGGUCUUCGGAUUGUAAACCCCUGUCAUGUGGGAGCAAAUUAAAAAGAUAGUACCACAAGAGGAAGAGACGGCUAACUCUGUGCCAGCAGCCGCGGUAAUACAGAGGUCUCAAGCGUUGUUCGGAAUCACUGGGCGUAAAGCGUGCGUAGGCUGUUUCGUAAGUCGUGUGUGAAAGGCGCGGGCUCAACCCGCGGACGGCACAUGAUACUGCGAGACUAGAGUAAGGGAGGGGGAACCGGAAUUCUCGGUGUAGCAGUGAAAUGCGUAGAUAUCGAGAGGAACACUCGUGGCGAAGGCGAGUUCCUGGACAUUAACUGACGCUGAGGCACGAAGGCCAGGGGAGCGAAAGGGAUUAGAUACCCGGGUAGUC
rnacentral:rRNA from 1 species